rnacentral:rRNA from 1 species
CGAACGGGUGAGUAACACGUAUGCAACCUGCCUGCCACAGCCGGAUAAUCGGGAGAAAUUCCGUCUAAUACGGCAUAAUGCAUCGACGGGACAUCCUGUUGGUGCCAAAGGUUAAUUCCGGUGGCGGAUGGGCAUGCGUCGCAUUAGUUAGUUGGCGGUGUAACGGACCACCAAGACGACGAUGCGUAGGGGUUCUGAGAGGAAGGUCCCCCACACUGGUACUGAGACACGGACCAGACUCCUACGGAAGGCAGCAG